AGUGAACGCUGGCGGUAGGCUUAACACAUGCAAGUCGAACGGCAGCACAGUAAGUGCUUGCUCUUAUGGGUGGCGAGUGGCGGACGGGUGAGGUAUGUAUCGGAAUCUACUUUUUCGUGGGGGAUAACGUAGGGAAACUUACGCUAAUACCGCAUACGACCUACGGGUGAAAGCAGGGGAUUUUUGGACCUUGCGCGAUUGAAUGAGCCGAUGUCGGAUUAGCUAGUUGGCGGGGUAAAGGCCCACCAAGGCGACGAUCCGUAGCUGGUCUGAGAGGAUGAUCAGCCACACUGGAACGGAGACACGGUCCAGACUCCUACGGGAGGCAGCAGUGGGGAAUAUUGGGCAAUGGGCGCAAGCCUGAUCCAGCCAUACCGCGUGGGUGAAGAAGGCCUUCGGGUUGUAAAGCCCUUUUGUGGGGAAAGAAAAGCAGCAGGUUAAUACCCAGCUGUUCUGACGGUACCCAAAGAAUAAGCACCGGCUAACUUCGUG
rnacentral:rRNA from 1 species